CAAGCAGCCUGUGACACACACGGAAGGAAAGUUAUCUGAAACGCAAGCGUGAAAGAUGCAGGCAUCUAUGUAUGCGGUUAAGGGUACCACCACCACCAGCAUAAGCGUCGGUUUUCAGCAUCCUAACCGGAGGAGGCUGCUCACCGCCAGUGGCCUUGCCGGUGGUUUUAGGAAAAGAAGUUCAUUAUCACUUUCGGCAUCGUCUUUGAGCAAUAACAGCUGCAUGAGUUGCGGGAUCAGUUUCUGUGGAUUGCGUCCAGCUGAUUCAAUUUCCAUGGGAACUGAGCUCGUGCGUACUGCUUUUUCUAGGUCCCAUCCGGUUAAAGCUCUGUCCUCCGAUGGAGAUGUUGAAGAAGCUGCUCCUAUCCAUCCUCACAGAAAAUCUACUGGAAUUGUCUUGCCGUUCGUCGGUGUUGCAUGUUUGGGAGCUAUUUUGUUUGGUUACCAUCUUGCGGUGGUGAAUGGUGCUCUUGAGUAUCUUGCCAAGGAUCUUGGGAUCGCUGAAAACACUGUCCUACAAGGAUGGAUUGUUAGCACGCUACUUGCUGGUGCCACUGUUGGUUCAUUUACUGGGGGAGCAUUGGCUGACAAGUUUGGCAGGACAAGAACUUUUCAAUUAGAUGCUAUCCCUCUCAUAAUUGGAGCAUUUCUUUGCACUACUGCUCAGAGUGUACAAACUAUGAUAAUUGGUCGUCUACUUGCUGGUAUUGGAAUUGGCAUAUCUUCUGCCAUUGUGCCUCUUUAUAUAUCUGAGAUUUCACCUACUGAAAUUCGUGGUGCACUGGGGUCUGUAAACCAACUCUUCAUAUGUAUUGGGAUUCUGUUGGCAUUGGUGGCUGGAUUACCAUUAGCAGGAAAUCCUUUAUGGUGGAGAACAAUGUUUGGCAUCUCUGCUGUCCCCGCUAUUCUAUUGGCUCUGGGAAUGGCAUUUUCACCAGAAAGUCCUCGAUGGCUUUUUCAGCAAGGAAAAAUUUCU
rnacentral:misc_RNA from 1 species